UACAGAGGGUGCAAGCGUUAAUCGGAAUUACUGGGCGUAAAGCGCACGUAGGCGGUUUUUUAAGUCAGAUGUGAAAGCCCCGGGCUCAACCUGGGAAUUGCAUUUGAAACUGGAAAACUAGAGUGUGUGAGAGGGGGGUAGAAUUCCAAGUGUAGCGGUGAAAUGCGUAGAGAUUUGGAGGAAUACCAGUGGCGAAGGCGGCCCCCUGGCCCGAUAUUGACGCUGAGGUGCGAAAGCGUGGGGAGCAAACAGG
rnacentral:rRNA from 1 species